CCUACGGGCGGCAGCAGUGAGGAAUAUUGGUCAAUGGGCGCGAGCCUGAACCAGCCAAGUAGCGUGAAGGAUGACUGCCCUACGGGUUGUAAACUUCUUUUAUAAAGGAAUAAAGUGAGGCACGUGUGCCUUUUUGUAUGUACGUUAUGAAUAAGGAUCGGCUAACUCCGUGCCAGCAGCCGCGGUAAUACGGAGGAUCCGAGCGUUAUCCGGAUUUAUUGGGUUUAAAGGGAGCGUAGAUGGGUUGUUAAGUCAGUUGUGAAAGUUUGCGGCUCAACCGGAAAAUUGCAAUUGAUACUGGCAGCCUUUCGUUCAGUUGCUGUAGGCGGUCUUCGUUUUGUAGCGGU
rnacentral:rRNA from 1 species